ACGCUAGCUACAGGCUUAACACAUGCAAGUCGAGGGGCAGCAUUUUAGUUUGCUUGCAAACUGAAGAUGGCGACCGGCGCACGGGUGAGUAACACGUAUCCAACCUGCCGAUAACUCCGGAAUAGCCUUUCGAAAGAAAGAUUAAUACCGGAUAGUAUACGAAUAUCGCAUGAUAUUUUUAUUAAAGAAUUUCGGUUAUCGAUGGGGAUGCGUUCCAUUAGUUUGUUGGCGGGGUAACGGCCCACCAAGACUACGAUGGAUAGGGGUUCUGAGAGGAAGGUCCCCCACAUUGGAACUGAGACACGGUCCAAACUCCUACGGGAGGCAGCAGUGAGGAAUAUUGGUCAAUGGGCGAGAGCCUGAACCAGCCAAGUAGCGUGAAGGAUGAAGGCUCUAUGGGUCGUAAACUUCUUUUAUAUGGGAAUAAAGUUUUCCACGUGUGGAAUUUUGUAUGUACCAUAUGAAUAAGGAUCGGCUAACUCCGUGCCAGCAGCCGCGGUAAUACGGAGGAUCCGAGCGUUAUCCGGAUUUAUUGGGUUUAAAGGGAGCGUAGGUGGAUUGUUAAGUCAGUUGUGAAAGUUUGCGGCUCAACCGUAAAAUUGCAGUUGAAACUGGGAGUCUUGAGUACAGUAGAGGUGGGCGGAAUUCGUGGUGUAGCGGUGAAAUGCUUAGAUAUCACGAAGAACUCCGAUUGCGAAGGCAGCUCACUAGACUGUCACUGACACUGAUGCUCGAAAGUGUGGGUAUCAAACAGGAUUAGAUACCCUGGUAGUCCACACAGUAAACGAUGAAUACUCGCUGUUUGCGAUAUACAGUAAGCGGCCAAGCGAAAGCAUUAAGUAUUCCACCUGGGGAGUACGCCGGCAACGGUGAAACUCAAAGGAAUUGACGGGGGCCCGCACAAGCGGAGGAACAUGUGGUUUAAUUCGAUGAUACGCGAGGAACCUUACCCGGGCUUAAAUUGCAACAGAAUAUAUUGGAAACAGUAUAGCCGUAAGGCUGUUGUGAAGGUGCUGCAUGGUUGUCGUCAGCUCGUGCCGUGAGGUGUCGGCUUAAGUGCCAUAACGAGCGCAACCCUUAUCUUUAGUUACUAACAGGUCAUGCUGAGGACUCUAGAGAGACUGCCGUCGUAAGAUGUGAGGAAGGUGGGGAUGACGUCAAAUCAGCACGGCCCUUACGUCCGGGGCUACACACGUGUUACAAUGGGGGGUACAGAAGGCGGCUACCUGGUGACAGGAUGCUAAUCCCAAAAACCUCUCUCAGUUCGGAUCGAAGUCUGCAACCCGACUUCGUGAAGCUGGAUUCGCUAGUAAUCGCGCAUCAGCCAUGGCGCGGUGAAUACGUUCCCGGGCCUUGUACACACCGCCCGUCAAGCCAUGAAAGCCGGGGGUACCUGAAGUACGUAACCGCAAGGAGCGUCCUAGGGUAAAACUGGUAAUUGGGGCU
rnacentral:rRNA from 1 species